rnacentral:rRNA from 1 species
AACGAACGCUGGCGGCAUGCCUAACACAUGCAAGUCGAACGAGAUCUUCGGGUCUAGUGGCGCACGGGUGCGUAACGCGUGGGAAUCUGCCCUUUGGUUCGGAAUAACAGUUGGAAACGACUGCUAAUACCGGAUGAUGACGAAAGUCCAAAGAUUUAUCGCCAGAGGAUGAGCCCGCGUAGGAUUAGCGUAGUUGGUGUGGUAAAGGCGCACCAAGGCGACGAUCCUUAGCUGGUCUGAGAGGAUGAUCAGCCACACUGGGACUGAGACAAGGCACAGACUCCUACGGGAGGCAGCAGUGGGGAAUAUUUGACAAAGGGCGAAAGCCUGAUCCAGCAAUGCCGCGUGAGUGAUGAAGGCCUUAGGGUUGUAAAGCUCUUUUACCCGGGGUGAUAAUGACAGUACCGGGAGAAUAAGCUCCGGCUAACUCCGUGCCAGCCGCCGCCGUAA